GUGAAUCAUCGAAUCUUUGAACGCAAAUUGCACUCUCCUCGGAGAGUAUGCCUGUUUGAGGGUCAGCCUAUAAAAAAUCGACAUCGUUGCUGUUUCGCGGUGGCGUUCGUCGGAAAUUGGGUCAUCUUAAACCUUUGGGUUUUAAGCGGCUUAAAAUUUUCUUUACGUUUCCAUGAACGUUUUUAAAUUAUUUCUUUCUUCACGGUU
rnacentral:misc_RNA from 1 species